UCCCUCUUAGGAUAACAUCUGGAGAGUUUCCAGUACUCUACCAGUGACGGGUAUGGGAGGAAGAGUCAAGCAAGUAGAAAGCAUACCCAUUCCAUUCCUAGCAUGAGCAGUGGCUAGCAAUUGGAAGGCAAUCUGCUACAAAU
rfam:Ornithorhynchus anatinus chromosome 3, whole genome shotgun sequence.